rnacentral:misc_RNA from 1 species
GUCACCAUAGCAUCAAUGAGAUAUCUUGUUACAAUUAUAAAGGCAGAGAAGUUGGGGAGGAAGCAUUACAGUUAAAGAUAUAAAUAUAAUUAAAUUAAAGAAAAAGACAUAAUAUUUAGCUAGGGAAGGAUAUAAUGGUUAGCAGCAUCAAAUUUUGUGGCCAAAGUAGGAAUGAGCAUCUGGGAAAUUGUGCCAUAAAUUUGUGUGUAUGUAGUAUCCAUAUUUGAUGAUACUACCUAAAAAUGGUGAAAUAGGUGAGGAAAAAAAAAACUAAGAAUUAAACAAUAAAAACCUAGAAAAAAUAGCAUUCCUGAAAAUAAUUUUCUUAAUCAUUUCAAAUCCUGGAAAGAUCAUCUGUUUACACUAUAAACUUCCAGCAACCGGGAAAACAAGCUUGUAGUUGAUGUUUAUAUCAAAUGUUCCACUAAACCCCAAAAGUAAUUUUAUCUGACUCACUCGAGUAUGCCUAGGGCAAGGAGCGAAAUUGUCUUGUCAACAAUGAAAACUCAUUUCAAAAUAGAAAGAUGCAUGAAAAGAAAUUGCAAUCACAUUGUUUCACUAAAAUAUUGCUGUUGAUUAACAAUAGAACAAAAAGGUAGUGGAAUAGGAUUCAUAUCAACCAGAAUAGCCUAGAUCAGCAAGGGGGCUUCAAAUACCACUAUGAUAGUCUUUAAAGAUGAAGUUUGAUGUGAUGAAGAACAGUACAGAUACAGGAACUUGUAUAAUUGCUCAACGAUCAUGACACUUCCUUUUCAUCAAUUUUGACAUAAAUCACAUAUAAAACCAAUCAAAGAUACAAAGAACUUCAAAUGUCUUACCCUAAAUACUUCAGCAAAAGCUGAAAGGAGGAUUUGCAAUAUGCAUUAUACUUGGAAAGAUAACCAGUUAGAAAAUGAAAAACAAAUAAAAUGAAGACGUACAGAAGGGAUGUCAGAUACAAUCUCCAACCUAUAUUACCCUCAGGGACUAGCAAGCAAUAUAAGAAUAAGGCCAGGAGUUUGGCUGCCGAUUUUUCAAAAUUUUAUAUAUUUUCCCACUAAGUGAAAGUGUCAAAGUGCCAUACCCAUGUCCAAGUAUCCUUGUUCAAUACAAGUACUUUAGGGAAAGUUAAAGAGUAGAAGUAAUUAUGCUCCAAGGAUUAAUGUGACCAACAAUAUGUACAAGAUACCUCACAAUGUUCCCAUGCUGC